GACGAACGCUGGCGGCGUGCUUAACACAUGCAAGUCGAACGGAAAGGCCUCUUUCGGGGGGUACUCGAGUGGCGAACGGGUGAGUAACACGUGAGUGACCUGCCCUUGACUUUUGGAUAACUUCAGGAAACUGGGGCUAAUACCGGAUAUGAGCUCCUGCUGCAUGGGGGGGGGUGGAAAGUUUUGGGGGGUGGGGGUGGGAUCUCGGCUUUUCAGCUUGUUUGGGGGGUAGUGGGUUACCAAGGCUUUUACGGGUGGCCGGCCUGAGAGGGUGACCGGCCCAAUUGGGAAUGGGAUACGGCCCAGACUUCCACGGGAGGCAGCAGGGGGGAAUAUUGCAACAAGGGUGGAAGCCUGAUGGAGCAAAGCCGUGGGCGGGAUGAAGGCCUUCGGGUUGUAAACCGCUUUCGCUCAUGACGAAGCUUUGUGUGACGGUAGUGGGUAAAGAAGCACCGGCUAACUACGUG
rnacentral:rRNA from 1 species